rnacentral:lncRNA from 1 species
GGACGGAAGCGUCAGCCCGUAGUGCGGAGAAAAGAUGAAUACUUGGCAAGAAGGCUAAGUACGGAUUCUAGGCCUCAAGAACCCUUUUUUGGGGAAUAUUGACAACUUUCGGCUAGAUAGGUUUUAGUGGCUCAUGAUAAUGGUGGAAAAAGAAAUAAAUAUAAAAAUGGAAAAAGUGAAUUUUAUUGAAAGAAAAUAUGAAGAAACAAAAGCCUAGACUUUCAGGAGAAGAGUGUUUACAGAAAAAGAUGAACCCCAAAU